UCACUUUCUCUCUAAUUUUCUUUCCUCCAAAUUUGAGAACGUAAUAGCACCACCACCACCACAAAUCGAUUUAGCUCUCUUCUCCGAUCAGCAACCCCCAAAACUCGAAGGCUUGAGGCAGCUCCUUUGGCCUUCGCCACUAACCAGAAGCACCUCAUUCUAGCAACCUUCCCGCCACACCACUACAGUCGCUCAAUCACGAAGAUGGAGGAGACUAUGAGAGAACGAGGCAGCACCGAUGGAGCAUCAAGCUCUACGCCCUUCAUUCUCCGACUUCUAGCCGUUAUUUGGUCUUCUCACUACCAAGAUCGAAGUCAGAGUUUCUUACUUAUCAAAACCCCUAACCUCGCCUUCGAAUUCAGCCAACACCGCCAUUGUUGCCCGCCGCAGCUUCGCUUGCCGCUCUGCCGUAUAAGGGAAAUCACUGUUGAGGGACUACGUAUUACGUAAUAGUUGUUGGGUAAUUUCAAGAUUUCGUUUUCCAUUAGUUUGGGUAUUCAACUUUGUUUUGUUUGAUUCUUUUUCUUAGUACCUUUAAAGAAAGUUCCUCUCGUUGUUGACAAAUUACUUCCCUUACAGAAAUAUAGAGAGAGAUUCCAUUCUUUCUCCCCUCAACUCCUCUUCAUCUGCUUUUUAACACCAAUUGGAGCUUUGCUUUUGCUCUCUUAUGGGUUCUUCUCUCUGCAGCUUCUCAGCUCAGAAACCGCAAGCAAAACAAAGAUUGUUGCUGCCCUUGAAUCGGAUUGCUGUCAAUUGAAAUGCAAGGUGAAAAGGGAAAAGGAACUGAGUGGUGUUUAAACAUAUCGGUCAUCUAUACAAGGACUGGAUAAAUCAGACUGAAACUGACUCUCUUGUCUCCUCUCCUCUACGGCAUAGGGGUGCCACAGCCCACAACAACCAUCUCCCUCUCGCCGUCUCUCCUCCGAGUCCUCUCCCACCCUCUGGGUGGUUCAGUUUUAUUUACUUUCUUACAUAGCUUUGUUGAUGUCAUCAAGACAAUAUUGCAAGUGCAUGGAUCAACAUUGAGGAUUUGAGGUAUUGAGUCAUUAUUAUUGUUUAUUUUCUUUAAUAACCUCUACUCUUAUAUAUAUGGUUGUGGAGUUUUUCAAGAAAUCUUGCAAUGGAGUGAGCAUUGACACAGUGGAAGAAGCUGCUAACUUCAUGGUGGAUAAAAAAUGUGCAUUUUUUCAUUUUUUUUCUUUUUGAUGUAAUAGAACUACAUUAUGAAAUAGAUGAGAUAAUUUUAGUGAUAUUGUGUCUCUGUUGUAAUUGUAAAUGAAAAGAUAAUUGAUUUCUGAAUUAAAUUCAGGAAUCAAAUGUGUAUUUUUUUUAAAAUAUGAAAAGAAUGAAUGACGUUUAGAAAACGUCAUGAACACUUUUCAAAGGCAGUUCAUAAACGUCAUAGAAAUAUUUUCUAUAACAAUGACAAAACGUCAUGGUAAACUCAUUUCAUGGCGUUUUGUAAGUGUCAUUAAAAGGUUUUUAUGACGUUUUUCUACAGUCAUCGAAGAGUACCCCUACGAUGGCACCCGUAUAGAUG